GUGUGUGUGUGUGUGUGCGUAUGUGUGUUUCUGUGCGUGUGUAUGUAUGUGUGAGAGAGAGGGGGUGGUGAGGAGGGAGAAGGGAGGAAGACUGGACAGGAAUCGGGGGAGAGAGAACAAGUGGAAAGUCCCUGGAGACACUUCUGGUUUCUCCCCCGCCCAGCUCCCAGCCCUGUGGAUGCUGCCUUCCCCAGGAAGGCUGGGGAGGAAGAGAUGUAUGUACAGGGGAGCUUCCAGGACUGCUCCCUCCCAGGACUAUACUUUAGGAGAAAGGAAGCCCUUGCUCAACAGCUCCUCUUUGGCUAUUAAGUGCAUCGACUGCCAUGGCCAGCUAGGCCUGGCCCCUGAGCCUAGCCCCUGGGGCCAUCAAAGAGGUGCUCAUCCUCCCACUUACUGUCUCCAUGAUUUGAUCUUCUCAUCUCUCCUUUCUUCCUCAUUUGUGAAAUGGGUAUCCUGCUCCUCCUUCUGCUUCCUGGGAAAGUCUGUUCCCUGC
rnacentral:lncRNA from 1 species